AGAAUUUUACCGUCUCCGUCAUUGAGGUUAUAGUUUUAAUUGGUCCCUAGAGGGGUUUCGGGGACAGUUGUGUGCGGAGGAUUAUUCGUAGGAAGAAAAUAUGACGAUGGUAAAAAUGGUAAAUUUUAGCUAGUAAAAGGUAAUUUUUAUUCGGGUAUUAUUUUUCGGGGUGUUUUAUUUUUUGGGAGUUGGGUAUAAUGGUGGAGUUGGACCGGUUGGAGAGGCCCAACCCAUUUCCCCCUCUCUGUCUCUUCUUCUCUCUUUUCUCUUCCUUCUCCCUCCCGUGGUCUCUCUCCCUUCGCCGGAACUUCCAGCUGCCAGCUGCCGUCGUCCGGCUAGCCACCAGCCACCACUCCACCCCAUUUCAGACCCCCAUCACCUCCUCUCCCUCCCCGGCCUAGCCCCCGAGCCGUUAGCCCGCCGGAAGAAGAGAAAUCUCGCCGGAGACGUCGGGAAGCUUUUCGCCGGAACUCUCUCCUCCGGCCACCAAUCCGGGCAAGCUUGGUACGGUUUUGUAGGUCUCCAACCCAGCUGCCUUGCCCUAUAUAAAUAUAAUAAUUUAUAUAGGGGAUAUGCGCGUAUAUAUUUAUACACCGUCUUUUCCACCAUAAUGAGGUAAAAUGCCAUUAUGGUGCGACGUGAGCGUUAGACGCAAGUGUCGUAGCCUUGUGUGAAUUUUCUAUUUGUCUUUGUUGUUUCAAGAAAAUUCAUACAAGGGAUAUGAUGAGUGUAAUACAUACAUAUUUUAUUUUAGCCUGAGAGGCUGUAUUUUAUUGAGCUUUGGAGACUGGCCGGAGCUAGUCAUGAAAUUGCCAGUUUUUGUGUUAAGCGUUUUUGAACUGUCGCAUGCAGCAUAUUUUCUAUGGAAAUGUAAUUGGGAAAGCAUAAAUAUUUUCAUUAAAUUUAUGUUUUUGUAUACUCACUCUAACGUGUUUCAAAUGUUUUCCCCUGGGCCCUUCGUUUUAAAAAUGCCCAGCUUGCAGGUUAGCUUAGUUGAGGUCGGGCGUACCUGGAGAUGAGGCAUAGUCAUCAUAUAGCUUCCGCUUGUUAAUUUAUUUUGUUUCCUUUCUUCCUGUUAGAGUUGCUCUGAACCUAUAAAUGGUUGGAUAUGAGAUUUGUUUAGAUUAGUAAAUUUUGGGUGGUGUUGUGAUUUGGGGAGCACGAAGGCUCCAGGAGUAGAAGAUUAUAAAUGGAUUCUUUUGAAGUGUAUGCAUGUAUUAUUAGGAAGGGUUGUCCAUUUUCAAGGGAGGUUAUGCCGAAUUUUUCAGUAAACUUUCCUUCGAGGUGGUCCCCGCAGGAUUUACUUCGGGUUUCAGGGUGAAAUUCAGGGUGGGUCUUGACAACAUCUAAUGUGAGAAAAAAUUACUGGUCUUACUAACCGCAAUAAAGUUGAUGUUUGAGUAACCUAAGAUGUAUUCUUUGUUGUAAUUAUUUGUGACUUAUAUAUGUUGUACAUGCAGACCAUCAAGGUGUACCUCGCAAUGUUGAAGGAGGAAAUGGAAAAGAAGAAGGUCUCGGUCGGAUUCCUAGACAUAGAGGCAGCGGUAAGUAGUCUAACCUGAAAUAGUAGCGUGCCGUAGCACCGCAGUCUCCUCCGUUACUUUUUUUCAGUUAACACAAUCUUACUACUUGCUUUUAUAAAUACAGCGCACAGCGGUGGUACAUGAAAAAAAACUGAAAGAGUUCCUAGCUGGAGGAGGAAAAUAGGGGGAAUUCAAAUGUAAUGAAUUGGAUAUAGAGCUUUCCAUCAUUAAUCCUCUGUGGUCCAUCUUCAGCAAAGACCUGGUUUUCAUUCCGGUACAUCACGGGGUCAGCCACCACUAUACCUUGGUCUUGAUUGACAACGAAGCUCGAUGCUUCUAUCACCUGAACUCAAUGCUAUCGCCAAGGAAAGAUUACUCUACUGACACCAACAACCAUUUUCAGAAUGCAAUGGCAGUGGUGAGUUGUAACUGAUUUUUUAGGUAAGAAGUUUACUGGGGGCGAGUAAACUUCUUACCCUGUUUUUGUUUGUUGCUUGUUCUCUUAGUUUGUUUGAGUUGGUCCUGAUUGACAACGAAGCUCGAUGCUUCUAUCACCUGAACUCAAUGCUAUCGCCAAGGAAAGAUUACUCUGCCGACAUCAACAACCAUUUUCAGAAUGCAAUGGCAAUGGUGAGUUGUAACUGAUUUAUUAGGGUAAGAAGUUUACUGGGGGCAGUAAACUUCUUACCCUGUUUUUUGUUUGUUGCUUGUUCUCUUAAUUUGUUUGAGUUGUAAUUUACUUGUUUGUUGGAACCAACAGGUGAAGCACAUUAUGGUGUUCAUCAAACGCGUAUAUGAUUCCACCAAAUACCCUCUCAGCCAAGGCUUGGACCCUGAGGAAUGGAAGGAAAACUAUGACAAGCAAGAUAGCCAAGGAAUAGUGGUUGACGGUUACUCGAUGAUGAGUGCUGAAGAGAAAAGAACAAGAAGAUGGAUGCUGGACUAAAAUGUUUAUCAAGCAAGAUACAAGCUGAAGGAUAUCUUAUCCUGCCCGCAGCAAAAGAAAACAUCGUAAGUACCUUUAAACUACCUUUAAAGAGU
rnacentral:lncRNA from 1 species